rnacentral:tRNA from 1 species
GUCCUCGUAGCUCAAGUGGAUCAGAGUACGACGCUCCGAACGUCGAGGUUGCCGGUUCGAUUCCGGCCGAGGACACCA